CCAAUAGCGUAUAUUAAAGUUGUUGCAGUUAAAAAGCUCGUAGUUGAAUUUCGGGAUCAAUUAAUUGGUCGUGCCUAUGGUACGUACUGAUUUUAUUGGUUUCUCCCUUCUGACGAACCAUGAUGUCAUUAAUUUGGUGUCGUGGAGAAUCAGGACUGUUACUUUGAAAAAAUUAGAGUGUUUAAAGCAAGCUAACGCUUGAAUACAUUAGCAUGGAAUAAUGAAAUAGGACGUUUGAUCCUAUUUUGUUGGUUUCUAGGAUCGACGUAAUGAUUAAUAGGGAUAGUUGGGGGCAUUAGUAUUCAAUUGUCAGAGGUGAAAUUCUUGGAUUUAGUGAAGACUAACUACUGCGAAAGCAUUUGCCAAGGAUGUUUUCAUUAAUCAAGAACGAAAGUUGGGGGCUCGAAGACGAUCAGAUACCGUCCUAGUCUCAACCAUAAACGAUGCCGACCAGGGAUCAGCGGAUGUUGCUUUUAGGACUCCGCUGGCACCUUAUG
rnacentral:rRNA from 1 species